UACGGAGGGUGCAAGCGUUAUCCGGAUUCACUGGGUUUAAAGGGUGCGUAGGCGGGUAUGUAAGUCAGUGGUGAAAUCCUCGAGCUUAACUCGAGAACUGCCAUUGAUACUAUGUAUCUUGAAUGUCAUGGAGGUGAGCGGAAUAUGUCAUGUAGCGGUGAAGUGCUUAGAUAUGACAUAGAACACCGAUUGCGAAGGCAGCUCACUACACGAAUAUUGACGCUGAGGCACGGAAGCGUGGGGAUCAAACAGG
rnacentral:rRNA from 1 species